rnacentral:rRNA from 1 species
UGGGGAAUUUUGGACAAUGAGCGAAAGCCUGAUCCAGCAAUGCCGCGUGAGUGAAGAAGGCCUUCGGGUUGUAAAGCUCUUUUGUCAGGGAAGAAACGGUGAAGGCUAGUAUCCUUUGCUAAUGACGGUACCUGAAGAAUAAGCACCGGCUAACUACGUGCCAGCAGCCGCGGUAAUACGUAGGGUGCAAGCGUUAAUCGGAAUUACUGGGCGUAAAGCGUGCGCAGGCGGUUUUGUAAGUCUGAUGUGAAAUCCCCGGGCUCAACCUGGGAAUUGCAUUGGAGACUGCAAGGCUAGAAUCUGGCAGAGGGGGGUAGAAUUCCACGUGUAGCAGUGAAAUGCGUAGAUAUGUGGAGGAACACCGAUGGCGAAGGCAGCCCCCUGGGUCAAGAUUGACGCUCAUGCACGAAAGCGUGGGGAGCAAACA